rnacentral:lncRNA from 1 species
GUUAUGUUUGUCUCCCUUGAUUUAGAACAUUCCAGAUUUCACUAUGCAGCUUCUGAAAUGUACAGCAUGUGUGUGUUUGCUUUUAUAGUAAUUCACUAUUAUUUACAUCUCUACUUACACAGUUACUACCUUUCAAAACAGAAAUGGGGAUGUGAAAUAGAAGAUGCCAGAAACCACUUUAUCUCACUGAUUGGCUUUCCCAACCACAGUGCUCUUCUUUCCAUAUAAAAUAAGAUUUGUUUACAUGGAAAGCAAAAAUAGCACAAUGGAUUUAUAGAGGGCCCCAUUGCACAUCAUACUUCGAAGUUUCCUGAUUAAUUCAGGAAAUACAACACUACGAAAGUUCACACAUAUGAAUACAUUUUGAUUACUAUUUCUAUGUAAACUUACUAUCAAGAGAAUUUUACCCAUGAGGCGAUAUAACAUUGUAAGCUCCGUACCCGAUCACAAUGAUUUGUUCUUUUACCUUGGACAAAAUAGUUCAGUCUUCCUGGACCUUUGAGGCCUUAUCUGUAAAAUUAGAGAGUUGAACUUAAAUAAGCUUUAAUGAAUGUCCCAGCUUCAUGAAUCUGGAGGUUGAGGUGAAUUUGCCCAUGCUAUUUUAAUUAUCAACAUGGGAUUAUCUAUAGCAAAUUGUAGGCCACCUCUGUUCAUUCUCAGACAAAAUGUACCACCCAAUAUAAACCAAUUUUAAUAGGAGGACAGUAUAAUGAAAAAGGUUCAUAUGAUGGAAUAAAUAUGACAAAUGUUAGUCAUACAUAUUCUUGAUUACCCUAUCGGGGCAGACUAUUGAGAGUUAAUCAUGUUUUUUAAGUGGCCUUCGGUAUUGCUUAGAGUAAGUCCGUUUCACACUUGCCUCUUUAAAUGCUGCCCACGGGAUCUGAGAAUUUGAAAAGCAGGCUCUACAGAUGCAUCAUCAAGGUCAAGGGAGUUGCCACUUGUAACUUAGAACAACAUAGCAUUGUCGUCUGUUUAAAUCCCUCUUCAGGGAUGAUACCCUCCCAUCUAUUCAUUCUGCAAGAUUCUAGAAUCUUAGACAACAUUCUAUCAAGUAGAACCUUCUGCAUUUCAUUUUGGCCUUAUUCACUGAAAAUUAUGGAGUCCAAAGCUUUCGUUUGUACUGCUUCUAUAUAUACCUCCAGGGCAAGAAAAUGGAUGAGAAGAAUGGUUAUCUUAUAG